AGAGACAGCAGCCGCCGCGGUAAGACAGAGGAUGCAAGCGUUAAUCGGAAUUACUGGGCGUAAAGCGUGCGCAGGCGGUUCUAUAAGACAGAUGUGAAAUCCCCGGGCUCAACCUGGGAACUGCAUUUGUGACUGUAGAGCUGGAGUGCGGCAGAGGGGGAUGGAAUUCCGCGUGUAGCAGUGAAAUGCGUAGAUAUGCGGAGGAACACCGAUGGCGAAGGCAAUCCCCUGGCCUGCACUGACGCUCAUGCACGAAAGCGUGGGGAGCAAACAGGAUUAGAUACCCGAGUAGUCCCUGUCUCUUAUACA
rnacentral:rRNA from 1 species